rnacentral:rRNA from 1 species
CUCCCAGCACGGGGAGGUAGUGACGAUAAAUAACGAUACGGGACUCAUCCGAGGCCCCGUAAUCGGAAUGAGUACACUUUAAAACUUUUUCCGAGUAUCAAUUGGAGGGUAAGUCUGGUGCCAGCAGCCGCGGUAAUUCCAGCUCCAAUAGCGUAUAUUAAAGUUGUUGCGGUUAAAAAGCUCGUAGUCUGAUCUGUGUCCCGCGCCGCUGGUUCAUCGUUCGCGGUGUUCAACUGGCGUGUCUCGCGGGACGUCCUGUCGGUGGGCCUCGUAUUCUUACGAGAUGCGAGGCCCUGAUCGUAGCCGCCUUGCGCGGUUGCGGUUCCCAUUGCGUUGCUCUUCAUUGAGUGUCUUGGUGGGUCGGCACAUUUACUUUGAACAAAUUAAAGUGCUUAAAGCAGGCCAAUUUGCCUGAAUAUUCGUGCAUGGAAUAAUAGAAUAGGACCUCGGUUCUAUUUUGCUGGUUUUCUGAACUCCGAGGUGAUGAUUAAGAGGAACGGAUGGGGGCAUUUGUAUUGCGACGUUAGAGGUGAAAUUCUUGGAUCGUCGCAAGACAGACCGAUGCGAAAGCGUUUGCCAAAAACGUUUUCAUUGAUCAAGAACGAAAGUUAGAGGCUCGAAGGCGAUCAGAUACCGCCCUAGUUCUAACCAUAAACGAUGCCAGCUAGCGAUCCGCCGACGUUCCUCCGAUGACUCGGCGGGCAGCUUCCGGGAAACCAAAGCUUUUGGGUUCCGGGGGAAGUAUGGUUGCAAAGCUGAAACUUAAAGGAAUUGACGGAAGGGCACCACCAGGAGUGGAGCCUGCGGCUUAAUUUGACUCAACACGGGACACCUCACCAGGCCCGGACACCGGAAGGAUUGACAGAUUGAUAGCUCUUUCUUGAUUCGGUGGGUGGUGGUGCAUGGCC